UACGAAGGGGGCGAGCGUUGUUCGGAUUUACUGGGCGUAAAGGGCGCGCAGGCGGCUCAUUUUGUCAGGCGUGAAAGCCCCGGGCUUAACCUGGGAACUGCGUUUGAUACGGAUGGGCUAGAGUUCGGGAGAGGAGAGUGGAAUUCCCAGUGUAGAGGUGAAAUUCGUAGAUAUCUGGAGGAACACCGGUGGCGAAGGCGGCAUCCUGGACCAACACUGACGCUGAGGAGCGAAAGCCAGGGGAGCAAACGGG
rnacentral:rRNA from 1 species